UACGGAGGGUGCGAGCGUUGUUCGGAAUCAUUGGGCGUAAAGGGCGCGUAGGUGGCGACCCAAGUCAACGGUGAAAGCUCGACGCUCAACGUCGAGUCGGCCGUCGAGACUGGGUUGCUCGAGCACUGUAGAGGCAGAUGGAAUUCCGGGUGUAGCGGUGGAAUGCGUAGAGAUCCGGAAGAACACCGGUGGCGAAGGCGGUCUGCUGGGCAGUUGCUGACACUGAGGCGCGACAGCGUGGGGAGCAAACAGG
rnacentral:rRNA from 1 species